UUGUCUCAAAUGUUUUUUUUUUAUUUUUAAAUUUUCUAUCCUAGAGCUGAUUAUGUUGUAGCUUCUGUAUUAGGUAGAGACAUGCAUAAUUCAAAAGACAUCAUUAGCAAAUGGAAUGUAAACACUUUGGGAUAACUGUCUUACAAGCACUGGAACUGCUGUAGGAACAACGUGAAGCAGUAUUUAGUCUGUGUGUGAUGCUACAGGUUUAAAAAAGAGAAGCAGAUGAGAGGCAGCACCACACAGAGGCACAGCUGCAAAGCUCAAACUUCUGCUGCUCCAUAUUGGGACCCCACUGAAGCAGAACAUUAAUCUUUUCAGCUCUUGGACUUCUCACCUAAACACAUCAUGGCACCAGCUCUGUUAUCCUGAAGAAGGCGCAACACAGGCUUUAGGGAAAAGAAAGAAUGGAGCCACGUUAGAAAAAGCACCUAUUUGAUUUAAUCAAAUAAAAAAAGUCUUCCUUUUUUUUCC
rnacentral:lncRNA from 1 species